AUUUUGGAGAAAAAGCUCAAGCCGUGAGACCUUAUAUCAGACUCCACGUUCUGCACUAUUCACAUCCGUUUGUCAUGCAACCUCAAUCACAUUCGUAUUCCACGCCUUGCCGUCGCACAUUAUUUUUGUUUCCCUUUCUCUCUAGGGUUUUGUUUUCAAUCCUCAAUAUAUACUUAUGCAUGUCUCAACCACCCCUUAUGCACGAACAAACCCCAAGCUGCCGCUUCAGUUUUCUUCUUCUUCUCUGGGUUUUUUUAUUUUUUGGCUGUCCACACCAUAACCUCCCGCGAGUCGCACCCCUUACGGCCAUCUCGUUCCCAUGCAAGGGUCUGCCCAACCCCUCGCUACAUCGUGUACGUUGCUGACCAACCUGGCAUCUCACCAACCAUCGCGCAACACCACCGUGUGGAUGUGUCUCUUGCACCAGUUUCUGUCGGAGCAAAGGAAGAAGAACCCAAGCUUAACAACGCUCGGAUUGCUCUCAAGCACCUCCUGGAACCACCACCCGAAACCUCCUUGCACCACUACACCCCUCUGCUCAGCCACCGUGUGACCUAGCGGAAACCCCCAACUCAGCCGUUGUCCCCUGUUUUUCCACUCCCGAAACAGAAUAGUGUGUAGGCCACAAACUCGGUUGAUCACCACCGUACGAUGGAAAAAUAAUAGGGUUGGCCAUAGAACCUGCCAGUCGUCGCCUUCCCAUCAGCCUCAAGCUGCCUCAGAUCCGCCUUGUCCCUCAUGCCUUUCAGCUCGACGUUUUCUGCACCACCUUGUAGUUCUUCACGCCGCUCCUCACUCUCGUUACAGCCCUGUUACGGGUGAUAAUAGUGGCAUACGGACCAACCACGAGUGAUAAUAGUGGAUACAGCCCAGCCACAGGUUAUAAUAGUAUAUAUGGCCCAAUCAUGGGUAACAAUAGUAGAUACGGCCCAACAAUGGGUUGUAAUAGUAGAUACAGCUCUACUACGAGUUAUAGUAGUGGUUUCUAUUUGAGUGCAUACCUUGCUGACAGAGUGAUUUAUGUUCUACUUGGUUAUCCGCAGAUGCACAACCCUACCGCAGGGGUUAUACAAGGCAUCUGUUCUGAUAUGAUGCUCUGAUAUGAUGAUGAUGAUGAUGAUGAAUCAUAUACGUUAUGCCAAAGUACUUUUGAAUAUGAUUAUUUUUGAAACUUCACUCUAAUUUUUGUUAACAUGUUUUGCUUCUGCACUCUGAAAAUGAAAAGGAAAAUGUUCUAUUCUGCAUUCUGAUUUCUAUAAAUGCUCAUAUUUAUAUACUAGUAUAUGUCCUCUGCUUACUGAGUUGUUGAUAACUCAUAUCUUAACUCCACAAUAUUUUUCAGAUGAUUCUAGAAUAGUUCAACUAAGGAUCAGGAUUAUGAAGUAUGGGUGAGAUGAUUAUUUAAGUAUAGUAGGUUAUUCAUAAAAGAUUUAUGAGGAUUGAUGGAUUUUAUUAAGAGAUUUUAUAAUAUUCUGUUGAUUUUAAGUUUUGGAAUCUAUAAAUAUUUUGAUGAAAUAUGAGUUUUAAAUAUGAGGAAGUAACUCUCCAACCCCUGCAGAAAUAGAGCGUUACAGGUUCCCCCAUACGUGAUGGUCCACUUUUGUAUAUUGAUUACGAAGCAUCAAGCAUUUGUACUUUGCGAAGAGUUCCCGAGCACACUGAAUGGUAUUUCUCUUUCCAAAUCUGGUCGAAGCCAUAUAACUCUUCAAUCCAAAGAGUAUACUCGUAGUAAACUUGGCGGUAAAUCGGAAGGCCGGCGAUUUUAUUCAGUUUAUGAACAAUAAUCGUCUAUUCGAGGGUUGGUCCGAUCCUAUGUCAACGCAAUUCAAAUCAGCAUCCAUGAGGGAGACUGCUGCUAACAGUGCUGCACUUUUUGAACAUGAGUCCUAUUAACUAAUGUAACUUUUAGUGAAGUUGAAUUCAGCAUGGGUUGUCACUUUUUCUUUUUUCUUUUCUUUUUUUAAUAAUUCUUUAAGCCUAUGGGCUGUCACUUUAUUCCAUAAUGGAUAAUGGAACGUGUUUUGGGUCAAUUGGAUAGAAAAAUCCUCGUCUCCAGUCACUAAAAUUACGCUGAUUGUCUAGAUAUUCUCUUUCCCAGAAUGUUAGAAAUGGCUCAGCCUUGGGCUAAUUAACGUGGAGGGAUUAAGUCGUUGUACAGCCAGCCUUGGGGCUUUUUAGCACUGGCACGGUGGCACCUACCCAAACAGGCAGCAAGCAAAUGUUACAAGCUAGCCAAUCUGAUCAGCAUGCCCACAACAAGCUUCCCUCCUCUUCCUACCCUAAUCUGAGCUACUUCUGACGUGUCCCUUGGCUCAAUGGGGCUAUUGAUCCAAAGAUUGUAUCUGAAACAGUGAUGUCAACUAUGAAACAGAGAAACAAUAAGAAACGUAUCUUUUUAUGCUGCUUAGGUAUUUGAUAUUUUAGAUCACCAAUGGAAACAAAGAUUGAUUAGACCAUUC